rnacentral:rRNA from 1 species
UACGUAGGGUGCGAGCGUUGUCCGGAAUUAUUGGGCGUAAAGAGCUCGUAGGCGGUCUGUCGCGUCGGUCGUGAAAACUUGGGGCUUAACCCUGAGCUUGCGGUCGAUACGGGCAUGACUGGAGUUCGGUAGGGGAGACUGGAAUUCCUGGUGUAGCGGUGAAAUGCGCAGAUAUCAGGAGGAACACCGGUGGCGAAGGCGGGUCUCGGGGCAGUAACUGACGCUGAGGAGCGAAAGCGGGGGGAGCGAACAGG